AUGCACGCUGGCGGCGUGCCUAAUCCAUGCAAGUCGAGCGAACAGACGAGGAGCUUGCUCCUCUGACGUUAGCGGCGGACGGGGGAGUAACACGUGGAUAACCUACCUAUAAGACUGGGAUAACUUCGGGAAACCGGAGCUAAUACCGGAUAAUAUAUUGAACCGCAUGGUUCAAUAGUGAAAGACGGGUUUGCUGUCACUUAUAGAUGGAUCCGCGCCGCAUUAGCUAGUUGGUAAGGUAACGGCUUACCAAGGCAACGAUGCGUAGCCGACCUGAGAGGGUGAUCGGCCACACUGGAACUGAGACACGGUCCAGACUCCUACGGGAGGCAGCAGUAGGGAAUCUUCCGCAAUGGGCGAAAGCUUGACGGAGCAACGCCGCGUGAGUGAUGAAGGUCUUCGGAUCGUAAAACUCUGUUAUUAGGGAAGAACAAAUGUGUAAGUAACUAUGCACGUCUUGACGGUACCUAAUCAGAAAGCCACGGCUAACUACGUG
rnacentral:rRNA from 1 species